GUGCUCACUUUGGCAGCACAUAUAUUAAAAUUGGAAUGUUAAAGAGAAUAUUAGCAUGGCCACUGCACAAGGAUAACACGCAAAUUUGUAGUGUUCCAUAUUUUU
ensembl:snRNA U6 U6 spliceosomal RNA